rnacentral:rRNA from 1 species
GGAAUAUUGGACAAUGGGCGCAAGCCUGAUCCAGCCAUGCCGCGUGUGUGAAGAAGGCCUUAGGGUUGUAAAGCACUUUCAGUGGGGAGGAAGGGUGUUGUGUUAAUAGCACAGCAUUUUGACGUUACCCACAGAAGAAGCACCGGCUAACUCCGUGCCAGCAGCCGCGGUAAUACGGAGGGUGCAAGCGUUAAUCGGAAUUACUGGGCGUAAAGCGCACGCAGGCGGCUUUUUAAGUCGGAUGUGAAAG